CGCUUGAAUACAUUAGCAUGGAAUAAUGAAAUAGGACGAUCGAUCCUAUUUUGUUGGUUUCUAGGAUUGACGUAAUGAUUAAUAGGGAUAGUUGGGGGCAUUAGUAUUCAAUUGUCAGAGGUGAAAUUCUUGGAUUUAUUGAAGACUAACUACUGCGAAAAGCAUUUGCCAAGGAUGUUUUCAUUAAUCAAGAACGAAAGUUAGGGGAUCGAAGACGAUCAGAUACCGUCGUAGUCUUAACCAUAAACUAUGCCGACUAGGGAUCGGAUGAUGUUAAUUUUUUAAUGACUCAUUCGGCGCCUUACG
rnacentral:rRNA from 1 species